rnacentral:lncRNA from 1 species
AGACUGAAACCAAAGCCAAAGGCAGAAGCGAGUUCAUCUGAACAAAAUUCCAACCCAAAUAUUUACACAGCGCUCCCAUUAGCUGACGCCAACUCCACACAGGCAAGCUCUGUGAAUUCAUCUCAAUCACAGACAAGUCUGCUUCAUCAAGCAGCAUCGGCAACCUCUGAAGGUAAACCUGGAAGCAUCAUCAAGCAUGUCUUAGUGAAUGAGCCAGAUGCUAAUCAAGAAUCUGUGGUACAAGGAUUCUUCCUAAAUUCCUUGGAAAAGAAUCUUGUGCUGGUCUCGGACUCCAAGCAAACAGCGGCUACAUCCACCUCAAGCAAUCAGCCAGUGGGCACAUUUAUAAUCCAGAAUACCGCUCUGCACUCGUCUCUUCAGAAUGGCAAUGCAAAUGGGAAAGAAACUCCGGUUCAAAGUCUGCUCAACAGUCAGAGCCUUCUCCUCAAUAGUUCAGCAAACUCGCCCAACAUGACUAAUUUUGCAAUCGCCUCAAGUGCAGUGAAAAGCAAGCAGGAGACACCACCUUCAAAUUCACCGAAUACGCUGCCAAAGAACAAAGGAAAUUCAAAUUCGAUUCGGUUACCUGUUGGAGGUUUGCAAGGAAAAUCCUGCAAUGCACUUCAACUGCCGUAUCAAUCAAUAGUACAACGUGUAGCCCGAAACAACUGGCAAUCCCCAAAUCAGUUGUGUCCUCUCCAAACGUUCUUCUGUCUCUCGCUUCGCAGAAACAAUGCUCUUCCUCAGGUUUAUUUCAAAAUCCGAAUAUUAUCAGGCUCGCAGUCAAAAAUGGGAAACUUUGCCCCGAUGUGAGCAUGCCAGUUCCACCACCCGUCAACACCUCUCCACAAGUCUCUGCUGCCGAGGCUCCUAAACCUCCGCUGAAACCAAUCCAGUCACAGCAGCAAGCGGUAACACUUUCAACCCCAAAAUCGCAGAUGAAUUUAUCAUUGAUAUCUGCAAUCGUUCCCCUCAACGACCCCAAACUCAAAUCUGUACUCAAAGGCAAUGUUCUCUCGUCUCUGCUUCAUAAAGGCGAAACUGACCAAGAGAAACCAAUGGAGAACUCAUCCGAAAUACCACAUGAAAAUCCGUUUUCGUCUCUUCCGACUUCAACCGACAUCAGUGCAGCAGAUGCAGCGGUACUGUUAAAUUCAACAAACGUAGGCUCUUCACCGUCUACAGAAUCGGAAUCUACCUCGCAAAUACUCGCAGGUCCUCCUUCCAAGCCCUCCAAACCAGCAACCGGCGCUCCACCUGGGCUGUACCCGUUAGCUAUGAUGUCCUCAGAUACCACAACUACCUCUGCAAUAAUGUCUGCAAUUUCCUCAUCCUCUGUUCCCCUACUCCACAUUCCAGAGACCAUCCCAUCGCAGAAUGCCCACGCACCAUCUGCCGGGAAACCUAACGGUUCCCUCCUAGUCAUACCGGGCAUCGUUCCGUCGAGUCUCCCGUCCCUCUACUUACAUCCUAGCGGUGCUUACGUUACCUCACUCUCCUCCUUAACGUCAAAUGUUACGACUGAGUCGGGCGCUGUUAAUGAUGUGAGAGUCCCUUCAGAAAUUUUGGAGGCGAUUGCAUCCCUGUCUUCCAUUCCAGUGCCCGUGCCAGAAGUACCUCACAGCGCUAACUUGGAAAGUGUUUACAAAAAACUGCAGGAUGCAGCUGCUGUAUCGGCGUCUUUUCCAGCUUCGGCUCCUAACAGAGUAGAAUCCUUUUCUUUGCCUAAUUCAAAAGCUGAGUCUAAACAGAUGGUAUCAAGUGAUGGCAAAGAAUCCGGAAAGGAAGCUUGCAGCAAUAAUUUCAAAGAAAAUCUCGUCAUCUCAGAGACUGAUAAUAAGAACAAAGAUACAGACAAUAUUCCAGACAUUCCUUUGGAUACAACGAAGAAACUACUUAAUUGGAAUGACAUCGGCGUUGGGCCUUUAGCAGGCAGCUCAAUUAAGUUCCGGAUGAAUGAAUUUGGAAUGAUGGAAAUCGAUGAUAACUUCGACAAAAAGUCUGACACUGGCAGUGACUCAGUUUCGCUCAAAGACGGAAGCCUAGACGACGUGAGCACUAACAAAGAAAACUUCAACGACUUUCUUUUAUGCAAAGAGAAGGUUGUAGAAGAAAGUGUCUACUCCAAAGAAAACAGGAAUACCAACGGCUCUUCAAAGAGGAAUAAGCGUAAAGAAGGAAGGCGGGCUAUUCGAGUUGAUGAGUCUGAUGGCGACAUCGAAACUAAGCAAACUAAGCUUGAUGAAAAGCACCACUCCAACAAGAAGGCGAAAUUAGAAUCUGGUGAGAGUAGAAAGAGCGCCCUCAAGAACAAAGAUGACUUGAAAGAGAGCAGCGGUAAGGAAGAAAUACUCCAGUGCAAGGGUUGUAACUGUUAUGGACUGAGCGAUGAGUUUUUCAAUGAACGAGCUUGUAGUGCAGAUUGCGAACGAGAAGUGAAACAGAAACUAGUCAUUGCGAAGAAACUCGAGUAUGACCGCAACGAUGUUCGCUUAAAGAAGAGGGAAAAGUACUACAGCCUCUUGAAGAAGGAAGUCCAAGACCAGAAGCACUUUGGGAGGGAUGAAAUUCAGGCAAAACUCGAUAAUAUUGAGAAGAUUGACAUCGACAAGAUCGACUUGACCAAGUUGGAAGCAGAGAUUAAAGGACUUGAUGAUUUUGAUGAGGAUUCAAAUAUUGAUGUCCUAUCAAUGAGUAGUGAUUUAAGCCAGCCUGUAGAACCAGCUCCCUCAGAUAUUUUAAAACCUUGGAAAGAGGCGAUGCCAAACAUGAUUCAUUCGAGGGAAUCACCAAGAUUCAGAACCCGUUCAAAGUAG